rnacentral:tRNA from 1 species
AAGUCUUUAAGUUAAUUAAACUAUUAGCCUUCAAAGUUGAAUAUACUUUAUUUAAGUAAGUCUUA